AGCUCGACACCUACGGGAGGCAGCAGUGGGGAAUAUUGCACAAUGGGGGAAACCCUGAUGCAGCGACGCCGCGUGAGCGAAGAAGUAUUUCGGUAUGUAAAGCUCUAUCAGCAGGGAAGAAACUGACGGUACCUGACUAAGAAGCACCGGCUAAAUACGUGCCAACAGCCGCGGUAAUCUGAGCGGGCUGGCAAGGC
rnacentral:rRNA from 1 species